rnacentral:misc_RNA from 1 species
CAACCCUCAAGCCCCCCGGGGUUUGGCGUUGGGGAUCGGCCCCCGCCUCGGCGGCCGGCCCCGAAAUCCAGUGGCGGCCCCGCCGUAGCGCCCUCUGCGUAGUAGAAACGCCUCGCACCGGGACGCGGCGCGGCCACGCCGUAAAGCAGACAGACCAGACUCUGAAAGG